AAUAUAAUAUAAUAUCAUCUACAUCCAUAACUCACUAGAUGGAGGAGGUACAACAGUGUCUAAUAUAAUAUAAUAUCAUCUACAUCCAUAACUCACUAGAUAGAGGAGGUACAACAGUGUCUAAUAUAAUAUAAUAUAAUCUACAUCCAUAACUCACUAGAUGGAGGAGGUACAACAGUGUCUAAUAUAAUAUCAUCUACAUCCAUAACUCACUAGAUGGAGGAGGUACAACAGUGUCUAAUAUAAUAUCAUCUACAUCCAUAACUCACUAGAUAGAGGAUGUACAACAGUGUCUAAUAUAAUAUCAUCUACAUCCAUAACUCACUAGAUGGAGGAGGUACAACAGUGUCUAAUAUAAUAUAAUAUCAUCUACAUCCAUAACUCACUAGAUGGAGGAGGUACAACAGUGUCUAAUAUAAUAUAAUAUCAUCUACAUCCAUAACUCACUAGAUGGAGGAGGUACAACAGUGUCUAAUAUAAUAUAAUAUCAUCUACAUCCAUAACUCACUAGAUGGAGGAGGUACAACAGUGUCUAAUAUAAUAUAAUAUCAUCUACAUCCAUAACUCACUAGAUAGAGGAGGUACAACAGUGUCUAAUAUAAUAUAAUAUAAUCUACAUCCAUAACUCACUAGAUGGAGGAGGUACAACAGUGUCUAAUAUAAUAUAAUAUAAUCUACAUCCAUAACUCACUAGAUGGAGGAGGUACAACAGUGUCUAAUAUAAUAUCAUCUACAUCCAUAACUCACUAGAUGGAGGAGGUACAACAGUGUCUAAUAUAAUAUCAUCUACAUCCAUAACUCACUAGAUGGAGGAGGUACAACAGUGUCUAAUAUAAUAUCAUCUACAUCCAUAACUCACUAGAUGGAGGAGGUACAACAGUGUCUAAUAUAAUAUCAUCUACAUCCAUAACUCACUAGAUGGAGGAGGUACAACAGUGUCUAAUAUAAUAUCAUCUACAUCCAUAACUCACUAGAUAGAGGAGGUACAACAGUGUCUAAUAUAAUAUAAUAUCAUCUACAUCCAUAACUCACUAGAUGGAGGAAUUAACUCCAUGCUGUGUCUCCUCCUCAGUGGAAGUGUGGGGUCUGUAUCUGAGGUCU